CUAAUUUCAAAAGCAAAUAAAAUUACCCAAAUUUCCAACCACGAUUUUCCCCCAAAAUUUCAUUGCAAUUGCAAAAAGCCCUAAAUAAGCUCAUGUGAUCCUCCUCGCCACACGGAUUCCAUGACUUCCGAUGAAGAUUCUCCGAUGGAACUAUUAGAUACGCCGUCUUCCUCUCCAAAAUCUGAAAAUAAAUAUAAAGAUCCGGAUGAUGGCCGCCAGCGCUUCUUGCUUGAGCUGGAAUUUAUUCAGUGCCUUGCUAAUCCUACUUACAUUCACUACUUGGCUCAAAAUCGGUAUUUUGAAGAUGAAGCAUUUAUUGGGUACCUGAAAUAUCUUCAGUAUUGGCAAAGGCCCGAGUACUUGAAGUUUAUAAUGUAUCCUCAUUGCCUCUACUUUCUCGAACUUCUCCAAAAUCCAAACUACCGAAGCGCAAUGGCGCAUCCCGCGAACAAGGAAUUGGCACAUAGGCAGCAAUUUUACUUUUGGAAGAACUAUAGAAACAACCGACUGAAGCACAUACUACCAAAGACACUUCCGGAACCUUCUAGUGUACCUUCCGUUCCAGCUUUGCCAUCCACCACCGUUACAGCAGCUGCCGCCAGUGCUCCGCCUCCUAUUCCUUCUACAGCCGCUCCACAAGCUCCUUCGCAGAUGCAGUUUGGUACUGGACCUGGAUCUAACUUUGUGAAGAAUGACCUAAGAAAUAGCGGGAUUGAUAGAAGAAAGCGAAAGAAAGAUGGGUGAUUACAACAUUGUCCUGGAACACAACGUUUUUGCGGUUAUAAAACUAGUCGAGGUCGUAGGCAUGUUCGAGUGGCUGUGGUUGUUUGAUCGAUCCUCUGUUUCAGCUUAUGAUAAAAGUAUUUUGGAAAGUGGUGAUUAUAUUUUCUUACAACAAGAACCACAACAGAAAUUGAACUUUAUUUGCUUCCUACCUAGUUCAGUUUCGGACAUGUUAUUAUUGUUAUUCAGUUAUCUAAUUGAAAACGUCGUCGGAAUUUAUGCUGAUGUUAUCUGUAUUGCCGUUAUUCGUCGUCGUAUCUGGAGAAAGAAAAGUCCAGGUACAUUCGAAAUUGAAGAAUAAAUUAAUUGUUUA